GCCCGGCUAGCUCAAUCGGUAGUGCGUGAGACUCUUAAUCUCAAGGUUGUGGGUUCGACCCCCACGUCGGGCU
rnacentral:tRNA from 1 species